rnacentral:rRNA from 1 species
UACGGAGGGUGCAAGCGUUAUCCGGAUUCACUGGGUUUAAAGGGUGUGUAGGCGGACUUUUAAGUCAGCGGUGAAAUCUCCGGGCUCAACCCGGAAACUGCCAUUGAUACUAUUAGUCUUGAAUAUUGUUGAGGUAGGCGGAACGGGUCAUGUAGCGGUGAAAUGCAUAGAUAUGACCCGGAACACCGAUUGCGAAGGCAGCCUACUAAGCAAUUAUUGACGCUGAGGCACGAAAGCGUGGGGAUCAAACAGG